rnacentral:rRNA from 1 species
UUCCCUGGAACGGGACGCCUCAGAGGGGGAGAGCCCCGUCUGGCUGGCCGCCAAGCCUCUGUAAAGCUCCUUCGACGAGUCNAGUAGUUUGGGAAUGCUGCUCAAAAUGGGAGGUAUAUGUCUUCUAAAGCUAAAUAUUGGCCAGAGACCGAUAGNNCACAAGUAGAGUGAUCGAAAGAUGAAAAGCACCUUGAAAAGAGGGUUAAAUAGUACGUGAAAUUGUUGAAAGGAAAGCGCUUGUGACCAGACUUGGGCGCGGCGGAUCAUCCGGGGUUCUCUCCGGUGCACUUCGCCGCGUCUAGGCCACCAUCAGUUCGUCGCGGGGGAAAAAGGCUUCGGGAACGUGGCUCCUCCGGGAGUGUUAUAGCCCGUUGCAUAAUACCCUGCGGAGGACUGAGGACCGCGCAUCUGCAAGGAUGCUGGCGUAAUGGUCACCA